CGCCUGUUUWUCAAAAACAUUGCUUGAAGAUUAACUAUUUUAAGUAGUUCUGCCCAGUGAGAUUUAAACGGCCGCGGUAUCCUGACCGUGCUAAGGUAGCACAAUAAUGCGCCUCUUAAUUAGAGGAUAGAAUGAAUGAAUGUACAAGUAAUUGUAUCGUCUUGUUCUUAUUAUUAGAAACUUAUCUGCAGGUGAAAACGCCUGUAUAUUUAUUUAGGACAAGAAGACCCUAAAAGCUUUUAUCUAUAAAAUAUGUUUAAUAUUGGAUUGGAGAUUAGUUGGGGCGACAUUAAGAAAUAUACACUUUAUUAUCUAAGGUGAACAAGCCAUCAUGAUUAGCCGAAAGCCGAGGAGUAAGUUACUUUAGGGAUAACAGGUUAAUUUAAAUUAUUAAGACCUUAUUUUUAUUUAAGUUUAACACCUCGAUGUUGGCUUUGGUUUCUCGUUGGUAGCAGCGUGCUAUGCGAGAGGUUUGUUCAACCUUUAUACACCUACGUGAUCUGAGUUCAGACCGG
rnacentral:rRNA from 1 species